rfam:Oryza nivara chromosome 4, whole genome shotgun sequence.
AAAAAAAGACAACCUAAAUUUUCAUGUCCAACGUUUGACUAUCCGUUCUAUAUGAUGUUUUUUUAUAAUUAGUAUUUUCAUUGUUGUUAGAUGAUAAAACAUGAUUAAUACUUUAUGCGUAACUUGUCUUUUUAAUUUUUUUCAUAUUUUUUUCAAAUAAGACGGAUAGUCAAACGUUGGACACGGAAACUCAGGGUUUGUCUUUUU